rnacentral:rRNA from 1 species
GGUAUACAGGCAAUACAUUAUAUGUAUUACAUAUAUAAUGCAUUGUACAUGAAACCUCUAGUAGCUGGUUCCUUCCGUAAAAGGUCGGGUUGCAGAGGGUGGUGUGGAGGCCUGCGGCGGACCGCACUUCUCCCUUAGUAGGACGUCGUGACCCGUCCGGUCAUGGUCAUAAGAGUGCGGGGUGGAGCCUGUCCGAUCGUGUUCGCACGUCUUCGGGCAGACCCCUGCGCUCUGGCCAUGAAUUUCGGUCGGUAUCGAAUGACAGUGUUAGGUCGCUUGCCGGCGGAGGAAACUCCUGCCAGUGAGUGCGUGUGGCUCUCGACAAGGUGCCGGGAUGUUGGGUCAAGGCGGGCUCCCGUCCGUCUGGCCCCACUCGGCCCUGUUGGUCUUGUUGCUCUCACGCUGGCCAAUUCUCAAAGACACUCGUCUACGGCGAAUCAGUUUUGGGCUCUUGUCCGACCCGUCUUGAAACACGGACCAAGGAGUUCAGCGUGUACGCGAGUCAUUGGGUGAAAAAACCCAAAGGCGUAAUGAAAGUGAAGGGAACUUUACGUUUCUGAGGGAGGAUGAGUCGGUUACCCGCAAGGGGCUGCUCCGCACUCCCGGGGCGUCUCUUUCUCAUUGCGAGUGGAGGCGCACCCAGAGCGUACACGCUGAUACCCGAAAGAUGGUGAACUAUGCCUGGCCAGGACGAAGCCAGGGGAAACCCUGGUGGAGGUCCGCAGCGAUUCUGACGUGCAAAUCGAUCGUCGGAGCUGGGUAUAGGGGCGAAAGACCAAUCGAACCAUCUAGUAGCUGGUUCCCUCCGAAGUUUCCCUCAGGAUAGCUUGCGCUCACGUGAAAGAGUCUCAUCCGGUAGAGCGAAUGAUUAGAGGCCUUGGGGUCGAAACGACCUCAACCUAUUCUCAAACUCCAAAUAGAUGAGAACUCCGGCUUUCUUGAACUUUGUUUUUGAAGCCGGGGGCUCGGAUCAGAGUGCCAAGUGGGCCAAUUUUGGUAAGCAGAAUGGCGCCUUUUGGGG